rnacentral:rRNA from 1 species
AUACGGAGGAUCCGAGCGUUAUCCGGAUUUAUUGGGUUUAAAGGGUGCGCAGGCGGCCAUUUAAGUCAGCGGUUAAAUCGUGGGGCUCAACCCCAUUCUGCCGUUGAUACUGGGUGGCUUGAUUGCGGUCGAGGUUGGCGGAAUUCGUUGUGUAGCGGUGAAAUGCAUAGAUAUGACGAAGAACACCGAUUGCGUAGGCAGCUGACCAGACCGCAAAUGACGCUCAUGCACGAAAGUGCGGGGAUCGAACAGGAUUAGAUACCCUGGUAGUCCGCACAGUAAACGAUGAAUACUUGUUUUCGGCGAUAUAAUGUCGGAGGCAAAGCGAAAGCGAUAAGUAUUCCACCUGGGGAGUACGCCGGCAACGGUGAAACUUAGAGGAAUUGACGGGG